rnacentral:rRNA from 1 species
AUUGAACGCUGGCGGCAUGCUUUACACAUGCAAGUCGAACGGUAACAGGGAGCUUGCUCCGCUGACGAGUGGCGAACGGGUGAGUAAUGCGUCGGAACGUGCCGAGUAGUGGGGGAUAACGCAUCGAAAGGUGUGCUAAUACCGCAUACGAACUGAGGUUGAAAGUGGGGGACCUUCGGGCCUCACGCUAUUCGAGCGGCCGACGUCUGAUUAGCUAGUUGGUGAGGUAAAGGCUCACCAAGGCGACGAUCAGUAGCGGGUCUGAGAGGAUGGUCCGCCACACGGGGACUGAGACACGGCCCAGACUCCUACGGGAGGCAGCAGUGGGGAAUAUUGGACAAUGGGGGGAACCCUGAUCCAGCCAUGCCGCGUGUGUGAAGAAGGCCUUAUGGUUGUAAAGCACUUUAAGCGAGGAGGAGGCUACUGAGACUAAUACUCUUGGAUAGUGGACGUUACUCGCAGAAUAAGCACCGGCUAACUCUGUGCCAGCCGCCGCGGUAAUAC